rnacentral:rRNA from 1 species
UACGGGGGGGGCAAGCGUUGUUCGGAAUUACUGGGCGUAAAGGGCUCGUAGGCGGCCAACUAAGUCGGACGUGAAAUCCCUCGGCUUAACCGGGGAACUGCGUCCGAUACUGGAUGGCUUGAGUUCGGGAGAGGGAUGCGGAAUUCCAGGUGUAGCGGUGAAAUGCGUAGAUAUCAGGAGGAAUACCGAUGGCGAAGGCAGGUCUCUGGGCUGACACUGACGCUCAUGCACGAAAGCGUGGGGAGCAAACAGG